GAGGGUAUAGCUCAGUGGAAGAGUACAUGCCUGGCAUGCACAAGGUCCUGGGUUCAGUCCUCAGUACCUCCA
rfam:Camelus ferus unplaced genomic scaffold scaffold1676, whole genome shotgun sequence.